GUCCUUUAGUUAAAUAUAAUUUAAGGUCUAACCUGCCCAUUGAUAAAUUUAAAAGGCCGCAGUAAUUUGACUGUGCAAAGGUAGCAUAAUCAUUAGUUUUUUAAUUAAAAGCUUGUAUGAAUGGUUGGACGAGAUAAAAUCUGUCUCUUAAUAAAAAUUAGAAUUUAAUUUUUAAGUUAAAAAGCUUAAAUAAAAAUAAAAGACGAGAAGACCCUAUAGAUCUUUAUAUAAUUUUUUUUAGUAUUAAUUUAGAAAAUUUUAUUUAUUAGAAAAAAUUUUAUUUUAUUGGGGUAAUAAAAAGAUUAAAAAAAUUCUUUUUAAUUUAACAGUAAUUAUUGAUUAAUUGAUCCAUUAUUAAUGAUUAAAAGAUUAAGUUACCUUAGGGAUAACAGCGUAAUUUUUUUAAAGAGUUCUUAUCAAUAAAAAAGUUUGCGACCUCGAUGUUGGAUUAAAAGUAAUCUUAGGUGCAGAAGUUUAAGAUUUUGGUCUGUUCGACCAUUAAAUUUUU
rnacentral:rRNA from 1 species